rnacentral:rRNA from 1 species
AUUGAACGCUGGCGGCAGGCUUAACACAUGCAAGUCGAGCGGAGAUGAGGUGCUUGCACCUUAUCUUAGCGGCGGACGGGUGAGUAAUGCUUAGGAAUCUGCCUAUUAAUGGGGGACAACAUUCCGAAAGGAAUGCUAAUACCGCAUACGCCCUACGGGGGAAAGCAGGGGAUCUUCGGACCUUGCGCUAAUAGAUGAGCCUAAGUCGGAUUAGCUAGUUGGUGGGGUAAAGGCCUACCGAGGCCACGAUCUGUAGCGGGUCUGAGGGGAUGGUCCGCCACACUGGGAAUGGGACACGGCCCAGACUCCUGCGGGAGGCAGCAGGGGGGAAUAUUGGACAAUGGGCGGAAGCCUGAUCCAGCCAUGCCGCGUGUGUGAAGAAGGCCUUUUGGUUGUAAAGCACUUUAAGCGAGGAGGAGGCUACCUGGAUUAAUACUCUAGGAUAGUGGACGUUACUCGCAGAAUAAGCACCGGCUAACUCUGUGCCAGCCGCCGCCGUAACAC